AUCAAAAGGUAAGAGGGGGGUUUAUUAACGGUCAAAAGUGCUUCUAGUAGUUUUAUACUUCAACGCAAAGCGAUGGCAGACAGACCAAGACAGAAUUGCUUUUGAUAUGAUUCUGUGGAUUUAUUUUGUCAAAACAAAUAACAUCCUACUUAAACAAUAGACCAAAUCAUACUUCAAGUACUCUUAACGUGAAACAUAUUUACCUAUUUAGAUUCGGAUUGUAAUUAUCGACCAUGAUACAGUUCUGCAUAAUGUUAAAGUUUGUCAACCUCUAUAAUCGACAAAUAUAAAGUAAGUUGACAACAAACUAAAUGGUUUACUUAUAUAUUUCCAAAUUGGCUACAUAAUGUACAGCCUGAUACAAAGUUAAAUCCUUGCGCAUUGGCAUACUAAAUAUCAAUAUUUAUUUCUUAGAUAUUUAAUCCAAACUAAGAUUGUCAUGUUGUAGCAUCUAAAAUAAAACUCAUUAUUUUGUGAGGUGGGUUUUCAAUGAACGAUGGUGUUUCUGAUAUUGUUUGUCAGGGUAUAGCAAAUAGUUCCCUUUAUGGUUGUUCUCCUAAAACAUUGAGUGCUUUAAAUUCAUUGGUAGAAGUUAAACAAAUCAACACGCCAGUCUAUGCACAACAUUUUACAUUGGAGAGGUUGAUGCUGGGUGAAUACUACUGUGCUGGUAAUUGGAACCCGAAAUCAUAUGCCUGAUGACAAUCUUCCAGGAUGCGGUUUUCAGCACAGCAGCCCAUGGGAAAUGGACAUUUUGUUUUACAAACAAAUGUUUGACAAAAUCUUUGUUGGCGGGGUUGUAAGUAGGAUAGCGAAUAAGUUACAAUAACCACGCAAUCGGAUCUCUUUGACCGCGUUACGUUUAGGUGUUUAGCGAAGUGCACGGCAAGGUCAGUGUGCGGCAAGGAGAGCGCCCUAGCAGCAAUAAACGCGAUAUUGCUUCCACUGCAGGCACGGUAUAAACCGAAACAAUAAAAUGCGACUAUAACUGUU